rnacentral:rRNA from 1 species
UACGUAGGGUGCAAGCGUUAAUCGGAAUUACUGGGCGUAAAGCGUGCGCAGGCGGUUUUGCAAGUCAGAUGUGAAAUCCCCGGGCUUAACCUGGGAAUUGCAUUUGUGACUGCACGGCUAGAGUGUGUCAGAGGGGGGUAGAAUUCCACGUGUAGCAGUGAAAUGCGUAGAUAUGUGGAGGAACACCGAUGGCGAAGGCAGCCCCCUGGGUCAAAACUGACGCUCAUGCACGAAAGCGUGGGGAGCAAACAGG